GUUUAAAAGUUAAGUGAGGGUGAAGAAAUCGACCUGAAACCGCAAAUCUGGAAAAAUAAGGAUAUGUCUGGAAUGUUGGCACCACUGGUUUUAAUUGUUUUUGUUUUGUGUUCUUGGAUCACACUUGACUGUAAUAUCAAAGUUCCAGGAAAGAUUUUGAUAAUAUUUCGAUUCCGGAUGAUUGGCUUUACCGCGAAGGACAUUUUCUCCCAGGUAUUCUACUGUAGACCCUACUGUAGUGUGGCAAAAGGACCAUGUACUCGAGAGUCGAUUCGAGAUUUAUGCGACAUGUUUGCAGUACUUAUCCGGGGUCAGGAGGAUGUCCAAAUGUGCAAUAAAUAAUAUACAGUGCAGCAGCAAUCAUGCGUACCACAUUCUUCGGUUUAUGGCCGGGCAAGUUCACAGCCAAUCAAUGUGGGAUAAAACGUUUAAGAACCGAUUACAAUACUGAAUAAUGUAUGUGGCGAUAUUAGCAAUGGCUUACUUCAACAGACAUGUGUUACUAAUAUUUGUGGAAUUGCAUCGUGCAGUCAUGAUUCCAACAAACUUCGCAGCGGAUUUUAAUGUGACGACCUAUCCCGAACAGCUGAAAUGAAAUGCUUUUUUCUAAAGAGUUACUAUUCUAUGAACACAUUUCAUAGAUGCCUAAGUGAAAAUAGUAACGAAUUAUUGAUCUUUAGUUGUAGUACACUACCUUUCUUCACAUAACUGUCCUAUA